GGAUUGUGGCUCAGUGGUAGAGCAUUUGGCAAGCACCUGUGAGGCACUGGGUUCAAUUCUCAGCACCA
rnacentral:tRNA from 1 species